GGCCUCCCAUUCUGACUCUUCGGUACACCCUACCCACCUUGCUCUGACUGUAACAAUGGAUGACUAAAGGUUUCCGGUAUUCUCAGAUUGAAAACUUGUACGCACUCUUAAAGCCAUAAUCAUCCGCUCUGGUAGGUUGCGAAGUUCUGCUGAGGAAACGCAUCCAGUUUUGACACUUCUGACAAGGUGUCACUCCGUUGGUGAGGAAAAAAUUCUGAAAACACCAUUAGGCAUGAGGACUCAGAGGUCUGUCGUGAGUCGGAGACAGGUCCUGACUCAGAGACAGGUCCUAACUCGGAGACAGGUCCUGACUCUGACGCAGGUCCCGUCUCAGAGGUCUGUUCUGACUCUGAGGCAGGUCCUGAUGCAGAGACAGUUUCUAACUCUG